GCGGGCGUGGCGGAAUGGUAGACGCAAAGGACUUAAAAUCCUUCGGAUGGAAACGUCCGUGCCGGUUCGAGUCCGGCCGCCCGCACCA
rnacentral:tRNA from 1 species